rnacentral:rRNA from 2 species
UACGAAGGGGGCUAGCGUUGCUCGGAAUCACUGGGCGUAAAGCGCACGUAGGCGGAUUGUUAAGUCAGGGGUGAAAUCCUGGAGCUCAACUCCAGAACUGCCUUUGAUACUGGCGAUCUUGAGUCCGGGAGAGGUGAGUGGAACUGCGAGUGUAGAGGUGAAAUUCGUAGAUAUUCGCAAGAACACCAGUGGCGAAGGCGGCUCACUGGCCCGGUACUGACGCUGAGGUGCGAAAGCGUGGGGAGCAAACAGG